rnacentral:misc_RNA from 1 species
UAUCUGUAAGGACACAUUACAGGCGUCAAAGAGAAAUUCCUUUGGUUCAGAAUGGGCCCAGGCCUUGAAGCCUGCUAAGAAUACCAAAGCCAGAAGAACACUAAAGUUCUCAAGGUCCCUCAAUGAUGUGGGUGAGAAGGCGCAGGAUACUUCAGAAAGUUUUGCCUAUGUGGAAAGAACUUGUUCUGAAGGGAAAUUAAUACUCCCUCAAGAUACGUGUCUCAGAACUAACAGGUUUCAUCAUAAAGAAAAAAGAACCCUGAACCACAAACCUCUUGGCAAUUCCAAACAUUCUUGUGUUUCAUGCCUUUCUGCCGGUCGCUCAACUGCCUCAGAGGUGGAAGCUGGCAAGGGGGGCAGGCCCGGCCUGCUGCUGGAAGAGAAGGCGGAUGGUGAGGCCACGUCCCGAAGCCGGCAACUGCUCCAGUACCUGUUCUCACUCUCGCACGGCUUGAGCGCCAGCAGCCUGCACAGGUUCCAUGAGCUGGAGAGCUGCGCUGCUCGCCUGCACACUGCCAAGUCCUCCAGCGGGCUGGCAGGGAGUAUGGGCUUCUGCUCUGACGAGAUGGGAGACGACGAUGUCUUUGAGGACAGCACAUCUGCAAAACUGAAGAGUAGGGUUCUGCGGGCGCCCCUCUGCUCCACGGAAAAGGACAGCGACCUGGAUUGUCCUUCUCCCUUCUCUGAAAAAUUACCCCCCAUAUCUCCCGUGUCCACGUCAGGGGAUGUCUGCAGGAUCUGCCACUGUGAAGGAGAUGAUGAGAGCCCCCUGAUCACCCCCUGCCACUGCACAGGAAGCCUCCACUUCGUGCACCAGGCCUGCCUGCAGCAGUGGAUCAAGAGCUCCGACACGCGCUGCUGCGAGCUCUGCAAGUAUGAGUUCAUCAUGGAGACCAAGCUGAAGCCACUGAGAAAAUGGGAGAAGUUGCAGAUGACGUCCAGCGAGCGCAGGAAGAUCAUGUGCUCAGUGACAUUCCACGUCAUUGCCAUCACAUGUGUGGUCUGGUCCUUGUAUGUGCUCAUUGACCGUACUGCUGAGGAGAUCAAGCAGGGGCAGGCAACAGGAAUCCUAGAAUGGCCCUUUUGGACUAAAUUGGUGGUUGUGGCCAUCGGCUUCACCGGAGGACUUCUUUUUAUGUAUGUUCAGUGUAAAGUGUAUGUGCAAUUGUGGAAGAGACUCAAGGCCUAUAAUAGAGUGAUCUAUGUUCAAAACUGUCCAGAAACAAGCAAAAAGAAUAUUUUUGAAAAAUCUCCACUAACAGAGCCCAACUUUGAAAAUAAACAUGGAUAUGGAAUCUGUCAUUCCGACACAAACUCUUCUUGUUGCACAGAGCCUGAAGACACUGGAGCAGAAAUCAUUCACGUCUGAUUGUGUGCGGGUUGUCAUUUUCCUGGACAUCCAUGAAGAGCUGAAGGAAAUUGUUUACUGCCAAUUGUAUACCUUUCUUAUGUCCUUUAAUAGCAUAGACUGGACAGGUGACUAUUUAUAGUGGCUUCUCUUUUUCUAAACCCUCCUUAGUCUCCUAGAAAACCUUCCUGUGGGCCAGGCAUGCCUGGGUCCUGCCUCUGCCUGGCAGCUCUGUGGGAAAGUGGAAGACCCCAUGAUGACAUCAUGGGGAGCCAGCAGAGUUCCUGCCCAUGGUCUUGAGCUGAAUGAGAGAAUAAAAUGCCAAUCCCAAGGGAAGAGGAGGAGCAGGGGUGCCCAGGCCCUGAUACCCAGCCGCCUCCAGCUUGCAGUGGUCCCCAGCCUGGAGCAGAGCAUUGGGGAGUGUCUAGCCAUGACGAGAAGAUUCCCUCUGCAUCACGGCGAACCCCAGGAGAUGGUAUUGAAACAGACCCCCAAACACAGACUCCUGCCUGCCCUCUGCCGAUGCUGCCUCCUCCAUGCUCUUGAGCAGGUGGAGCCAUGGUGCUCUGUGGUGGCGCAUGAUUCACUGAGCAAACAGCACUUUACAGAAGAAAAUCUUUAUUUUGUAAUAUGUGUGUCCAGCGGGAUUGACACUCAAAAAAAGUCUCACUUAGAAAUCUUCCCUUCCUUACCUUUGUAUCUCCUUUACAUCAUGAGAGAUCAAAAAUCCAUUUUGCCUUACAUAUGCUAAGAAGCGUGGCAUUCUUUCUGUUCAUAAAACAGACUCAUGACUUUUAAGACAGGACAAGCAGGCCAGAGGCUUUUUUUUUAAUCACAGAUCUCAUGGGAAUUAGUGGAUGCUAAAUGGCAAUUAAAGCAUGAUUCCUAUGCUUUUGAGCCUGUUUUAUGACAAGGUGUUACUUUGUAGACCUGGCCCAUACAUUUCUUUUUUGUCAACACUGAAAAAGAACAGUUUCUGAGAUCGAAAUGGAAGGAAAGGAAGUGAGUAAUGACAACAAAACUGAAUAUUUAAAAAAUAUUCCUUUAUAGUUAAAUCUCUCCAGUUGGUGUUGGCUUCACAUUGAAAGAGCAGCCAUGUGCCACCCUGGCCGGGGUGUGUGCACUGCAUGCAGGUUCUCCCUUGCAUGCAAGAUGGGUGCUGGCCCACUGUGAGGCUUCUGCUCGGGGAAGUUCUGUGGAGUCACUACCAGGGCCAAGAGGCAGGUGGGCUGGCUCUGGGACGAGGGCCAGGUGUGAGCAAACUGCCAGGGUCCGCUGUGCCACUGCUCCCCGGCCACAUGCCCGCCCAGCUGUCGCCUUAACCAGACUGAACAGACAGGAUCCUUCAGGGCCCUUGGCCCCACUCUCAGUGCAUUCUGUCAUCAGGGAUUACCACCUGUACCAUUUUCAUAAAACAAAACCAAAAUCACUACCAUCAAAUGGCCUUGUCCCUCUAAAAAGUCUGCUUAAAAUUCUGUUUUUAAAACCCAGUUUCCUAGUUUUCCAGGCAAAUAGUUACCUCCGGGAAAGUUGCUGGGGGGGCCUGAAGCACAAUGUAGCGCAGAUGCUUCCUUUCCAGGCCAUUCUCUCACCCAGCCUGCACGGAGGAGAUGGGAGAUGCUGGGGGUCCUGCCCUCAGUCUUUUUGGGCCUUAGGCGUUUCGUUCAUCCUGCUAAGGGGAUGAAGCAAACACGAGGUGAUUCCUUUGCCUUUCAGAGUGGAAGCCCUGGAGUUUGUUUUGAAGGCCAGGAGGCUGAAGGAUCUCUAAGCUACGGUGUGGGCUUAAUAGCAGCAGGCUUUGUCCUCCUGUCUCCUCCAAGCCAGUGUCUGAUUCCUUGGCAACACAGGUCUUAGUCUGUGGAGUGGCUCUGCUGUGGCCUUCCUCUGGCCGGGCAGGCACUGUCCAGCCAUAGCCAGCUCCUGAGAAUAGGUCAGCCUCUCCUUUCUGUCUCCCAGGGCACAUCCAGCCCGUGCCUGUGUUCACUGUGCCCCGAAGUGCAAUUACCCAUACCCCUUCUCAGCCUGGGGACCCCAGGCAACCACAGACUGUCCACUCAGGGGAGCUGAAUCCCAGGUCAGCCCUGCCAAUGUCCCUUAGGAACUGCCCAGGCAAGGCCCCUGGUUUUGUAUACUUGUUCCUGCCACCCAGCAGUAGAUGAGUGUUUCAGGUGAAGACCAGGAUAGAUUUUCUAAGUGUGAAUCCCCACUUCACAUAUGGAACCCCUUAUGCUGAACUUGAAAAGCACCAAGACUUCCUGUAGACAAGAAAGUGCUUAGGUAGGGACAGCCCCUGGGCAUCCCACCCAAUGUAGCUGGCACCCCACUAUGGCAAAGGUGCCUUGAUAACUGAGCCCUGUAUCCCUCCCAUGCCCAGCCAGAUUCUCAUGGGAAGCCCUCUCCCUUCUUUUCUGCCUAACACCAUCUCAUCGUUUCUGGCCUCACUGUGGACAAUCCACACACAUUCUUCUUUCCUCUCCUGGCGGGGCACAGAGCCACCCCCUUGCCUUUUCUUUUCUUGAAGGUUCUAGUUCAGCUCCUGAUUCAUCAGACCCUUCUAGCCCCCUGCAUCUAGCAGUGAAGCAUGAAGCCUGGUGGGGAUGUGGUACUCCCAUCUGGUGUGGCCACCAGCUCUGCCAAUGUUCCUGUAGCCUUGGAAAACUUGCUCUCUCGGUUCUUUUGGGUGCUGUGUACUCCCCAGCUUCCCCCCUUCCCCCCCCAUUUUGCACCUGGGUUUAGUGAAAGGAUGGCAUUUGGUUGACCCAUAUAGAAACCCAGAAUGAGGUCUCAGGGCCAGGAGGCCUGGUAUUUGUAGGCCAGGGAAGGGGAAGAGGCAAGUGGUCUGGGGUAUCACCAGCCAGCCCUCUCUGAUUUGGCCUCUACUCCCCAUAAGUCACAGUACCAUAAGCAGGCUUCUGGCCUCAGCAAUUUGGUCUUUGUGCCCAAGUUUAUUGUGAGAAUUUCCUGAAAACUCUAUAAAAGGUCUCUUCCUACUGUAGGCCUCUAAUGUUUCUCCCCUUUUUGCUUCAGUCCACUCUUCAGUCUUGUAGGCCUAGUUUUCAAACCUGCACAUGUGUCCUACCUGGCCACAGGCAUGCAGGCCUCAGGCAGCUGGGCCAGUUUGGGAGCCUCGGGUGAUGUCUGCACGAUCUGGGGCUGCCUCUGCACCCCUGCUGUGGGCUUCAGGGUUGGAGAAGGGCUGGGACCAACCGGGUGAGAUCCACAAGUCUCUGGAUGUGGCUGAAGGCAAAUACACAAUUGAAGUACUUUCUGUUUUGAAGUGCUUUCCCUUUUGAAUCUGGUUUGAAACAUGCAGCUUCUGUCUCUAGCCCAAGGAAAGACCAAAACAUAGGGAAAUAAAAGCAUUUAUCUUUGUCUUGGAAGUAAUUGUUGAAGUUGUGCAGUUGAUCAGUGCACAGUUAGAUGCAAUGUUUAUAGAAAUUGAUUGUUAAACCAAAUUUACACUGGCAUGUGUGGUGUAGUUUCUAAAAGGCACUUCACAUUUGAAAUUUUUCUUACCUUAGAAAGUUUCUAGUGAUCUAAAUGUCUAGUUUUGUAUUCUUUUGUGUGUGUUCACUGUUUCUCAGUAUUACCACUUGAAUAAUUCUCUGUACAGGGGGGUUUGUGCUAUACACUGGGAUGUCUAAUUGCAGCAAUAAAGCCUUUCUUUAAAAAG